CCUACGGGUGGCAGCAGUAGGGAAUCUUCCUCAAUGGGGGAAACCCUGAAGCAGCAACGCCGCGUGAGGGAUGAAGGUUUUCGGAUUGUAAACUCCUUUUGUUAGAGAAGAUCAUGACUGUAUCUAGAGAAUAAACACCGGCUAACUCCGUGCCAGCAGACGCGGUAAUACGGAGGGUGCAGGCGUUACUCGGAAUCGCUGGGCGGAAAGGGCGCGUAGGCGGGAUAGCAAGGCAGAUGUGAAAUCCUAUGGGUUAACCAUAGAACUGCAUUGGAAACUGUUAUUCUAGAGUAUAGGAGAGGUAGGUGGAAUUCUGUGUGUAGGGGUAAAAUGCGUAGAGAUCAGGAGGAAUACUGAUUGCGAAGGCGACCGGCUAGAACAUAACUGACGCUGAGGCGCGAAAGCGUGGGGAGCAAACAGGAUUAGAUACCCGGGUAGUC
rnacentral:rRNA from 1 species